CGCACAAGCGGUGGAGCAUGUGGUUUAAUUCGAUGCAACGCGAAGAACCUUACCUGGUCUUGACAUCCACAGAACUUAGCAGAGAUGCUUUGGUGCCUUCGGGAACUGUGAGACAGAUG
rnacentral:rRNA from 1 species